AAAAUGUUAACACACCUACAAUUCACUCCCCUAGCCCAGGAGAUAAUUUAGUCUGAUAAAAUAGUAACUUAAUUAUCUCCGGGCUGAAAAAUCACUUUUUCCCCAACUUUCAGAACACCCCUUUAUACUGGGGGUAUCCCCAUAAAUUAUGUGUCCCCUGAUAGCCCUGAUCUGGGUGACCAACAUAUUCGAAUUUCACCCAGAUCGGUUCAGGGGUUCGCAAAUUUUAUGGAAGUCUUGUGUGACCGGCUCACCCUGGGCUGCAUGCCCAAAACAGUUCCACGAAUUUGGUGGGUUUUGCC
rnacentral:lncRNA from 1 species